rnacentral:rRNA from 1 species
CGUGAGGGAAAGGUGAAAAGAACCCCUAUUAGGGGAGUGAAAUAGAACCUGAAACCGGAUGCCUACAAUCAGUCGGAGCUCUAUAUGAGUGACGACGUACCUUUUGUAUAAUGGGUCAGUGACUUUAUCUGUGCAGCAAGCUUAAGCCGAAAAGGUGUAGGCGUAGCGAAAGCGAGUCUGAAUAGGGCGAUGAGUUGUACGGAUAAGAACCCGAAACCUAGUGAUCUAGUUAUGAGCAGGUUGAAGGUAAGGUAACACUUACUGGAGGACCGAACCGGUGCCUGUUGAAAAAGGCUCGGAUGACUUGUGAUUAGGGGUGAAAGGCCAAUCAAACUGGGAGAUAGCUGGUUUUCCGCGAAAACUAUUUAGGUAGUGCGUUGAAUAAUAAGAUCUUGAGGGGUAGAGCACUAAAUAGGCUAGGGGGAAGAAAUUCUUACUAAACCUAAUAAAACUCCGAAUACUCAAGAUUGUUUCUCAAUAGACAGACGGUGGGAGCUAACUUCCAUCGUCGAGAGGGAAAAAACCCAGACCACCAUCUAAGGUCCCAAAAUCGUAGUUAAGUGUGAAAGGAUGUGAAGACUCCAAAACAGCCGGGAGGUUGGCUUAGAAGCAGCCAUCCUUUAAAGAAAGCGUAACAGCUCACCGGUCUAAUUAAGAGACUUUGCGCCGAAGAUGUAACGGGGCUCAAACUACGUACCGAAGUUGUGGAUUUAAAGUGUCUACGGACAUUUUAUCUGGUAGCGGAACGUUCUGUAAGUCUGCGAAGGGAUACCCGCGAGGGGUCCUGGAGAUAUCAGAAGUGCGAAUGCUGACAUAAGUAGCGACAAACAGAGUGAAAGACUCUGUCGCCGAAAAUACAAGGGUUCCUGCGUAAAGUUAAUCUUCGCAGGGUUAGUCGGCCCCUAAGGCGAGGGCGAAAGCCGUAGUCGAUGGGAACAAGGUAAAUAUUCCUUGACCUGAUGGUAGUGACGGAUCUCGUAUAUUGUAAGUUCUUAUUGGAUUGAACUUGCCUUGAAGAGGUCCCAGGAAAUAACUCCAUCAUUAAGACCGUACCCUAAACGGACACACGUGUAUUGGUAGAGAAUACCUAGGCGCUUGAGAGAAUGAUGUUGAAGGAACUCGGCAACUUGCCUCUGUAACUUCGGGAUAAAGAGGGCCUUAUUUUGCGCAAGCAGAGUAAGGUGGCACAAGCCAGGGAGUAGCGACUGUUUAACAAAAACACAGGACUCUGCUAACACGUAAGUGGAUGUAUAGGGUCUGACGCCUGCCCGGUGCCGGAAGGUUAAAGCAAGAUGUGCAAGCAUCGAACUGAAGCCCCGGUGAACGGCGGCCGUAACUAUAACGGUCCUAAGGUAGCGAAAUUCCUUGUCGGGUAAGUUCCGACCUGCAUGAAUGGCGUAACGACUGCUCCGGUGUCUCCAACAUCAACUCAGCGAAAUUGAAUUCUCCGUGAAGAUGCGGAGUUCCCGUGGUUAGACGGAAAGACCCC